CAGAGUGAACGCUGGCGGUAGGCCUAACACAUGCAAGUCGAACGGCAGCACAGGAGAGCUUGCUCUCUGGGUGGCGAGUGGCGGACGGGUGAGGAAUACAUCGGAAUCUACUCUGUCGUGGGGGAUAACGUAGGGAAACUUACGCUAAUACCGCAUACGACCUACGGGUGAAAGCAGGGGAUCUUCGGACCUUGCGCGAUUGAAUGAGCCGAUGUCGGAUUAGCUAGUUGGCGGGGUAAAGGCCCACCAAGGCGACGAUCCGUAGCUGGUCUGAGAGGAUGAUCAGCCACACUGGAACUGAGACACGGUCCAGACUCCUACGGGAGGCAGCAGUGGGGAAUAUUGGACAAUGGGCGCAAGCCUGAUCCAGCCAUACCGCGUGGGUGAAGAAGGCCUUCGGGUUGUAAAGCCCUUUUGUUGGGAAAGAAAUCCAGCCGGCUAAUACCCGGUUGGGAUGACGGUACCCAAAGAAUAAGCACCGGCUAACUUCGUGCCAGCAGCCGCGGUAAUACGAAGGGUGCAAGCGUUACUCGGAAUUACUGGGCGUAAAGCGUGCGUAGGUGGUUAUUUAAGUCCGUUGUGAAAGCCCUGGGCUCAACCUGGGAACUGCAGUGGAUACUGGAUGACUAGAAUGUGGUAGAGGGUAGCGGAAUUCCUGGUGUAGCAGUGAAAUGCGUAGAGAUCAGGAGGAACAUCCAUGGCGAAGGCAGCUACCU
rnacentral:rRNA from 1 species